rnacentral:rRNA from 1 species
AUUGAACGCUGGCGGCAGGCCUAACACAUGCAAGUCGAGCGCGCGGCGGACGCGUGUGUAUUGUAUCGGGAUCUCCCGUUAUGGGGGGAGAACUACUGUAAACGCUAGCUCAUAUCGCGUACUCCCGGAUAAACCCACAUGGGAUUAUCUAGUAGGUGGGGUAAUGGCUCACGUAGGCGACGAUCUCUCGCUGGUCUGAGAGGAUGAUCAGCCACACUGGGACUGAGACACGGCCCAGACUCCUACGGGAGGCAGCAGUGGGGAAUAUUGCACAAUGGGCGCAAGCCUGAUGCAGCCAUGCCGCGUGUAUGAAGAAGGCCCUAGGGUUGUAAAGUACUUUCAGUCGGGAGGCGUUACCGACAGAAGAAGCACCGGCUAACUCCGUGCCAGCAGCCGCGGUAAUUC